rnacentral:rRNA from 1 species
UACGGAGGGGGCCAGCGUUGUUCGGAAUCAUUGGGCGUAAAGGGCGCGUAGGCGGCUUUGUAAGUCCGUUGUGAAAUCCCUCGGCUCAACCGAGGAACUGCGACGGAUACUGCUUGGCUUGAGUCCCGGAGAGGGUAGCGGAAUUCCCAGUGUAGCGGUGAAAUGCGUAGAUAUUGGGAGGAACAUCGGUGGCGAAGGCGGCUACCUGGACGGGUACUGACGCUGAGGCGCGAAAGCUAGGGGAGCAAACAGG